CUACACUUGUGCUGAAUGGAUUCUAUGUAUAGUGUAGCACAAGAAGACACUAUACACGU
rfam:Bat Hp-betacoronavirus/Zhejiang2013, complete genome